rnacentral:tRNA from 1 species
GGAAGCGUGCCUGAAACAUAAGGACUACUUUGAUAAAGCAGACACGGGGCUAAACUACACCCCCACUUCC